rnacentral:rRNA from 1 species
GGGUACUCUAAAGGAACCGCCGGUGAUAAGCCGGAGGAAGGUGGGGAUGACGUCAAGUCCUCAUGGCCCUUACGCGUUGGGCUACACACGUGCUACAAUGGCGACUACAGUGGGCAGCCACCUCGCGAGAGGGAGCUAAUCUCCAAAAGUCGUCUCAGUUCGGAUCGUUCUCUGCAACUCGAGAGCGUGAAGGCGGAAUCGCUAGUAAUCGCGGAUCAGCAUGCCGCGGUGAAUACGUUCCCAGGCCUUGUACACACCGCCCGUCACACCAUGGGAGUUGGAUUCACUCGAAGGCGUUGAGCUAACCGCAAGGAGGCAGGCGACCACAGUGGGUUUAGCGACUGGGGUGAA